AUCUAACGGUAAAAAAUGACACUAAUAGUAGGAAUUUUAAUAGACCACGCCUUCAACGAAGGAGGAGUCCACUACAUAUUGAACUUAUCGAUCGAUUGUUAGGCCCAUUUCGAUCGGUACUGUACAGUCAAUGGCGGAAUGGCGGCGACGUGGAUUGGAACUUGGAAGUGGAUGCAUGUGCGACUUGAUGUGGCGUUGCAUGUGGGAGGUCCCGUCUGUAAUGUUCGCAGACUGGUCAUUUGAUGAUUCGUGUGCACAGUGGUAGUGAUUGGGUGCCUCAAGAGAGAAUCGCAGAGCAUAGCCACCCAUAGAGCUAAAACUCAUAGAAGAUUUUUAAAAUUUUUAUUUGAUUUUGUGUUGUUUCAGCAGUAGUAUGUCCUUCAACAAUCUGUUAUGUCCAUCCAUGGAAUGAGUGGCAUGCGACUAAGUCAACCAAAUGGGGCAACAACAAUCAGUCAGCAAUGGAAUUAGUCUGUGGAAAACAAAACAUUCAUUCCUGAGGAUGGUUUUGAGUUUAUCUAUGCUUAUUGUAUGUUUAAUUUUUAUUGGGCAAACCCAACAGGGGUUUGCUGUUUUCAAUUCACAAUCGUAAUGGAUUUGAAGAGGAUAUUGGUGGAGUUCUGGUAUAAAAAAGUAAAAGUACAUGUUUGAUGGAUGGGCAACCGAAGAGUUCUGGAUCCUAUUGCUAUUGCACAUGUUAUGCCGUGUAAAACUCAAGGCUAAAAGAAGAAGAAUGAUUCAAAAAUUGUGGGAGAGAAUCAUCAAAGAAUUAUACUCGUUUAGGUAAUCCAAUGAAAUAAGAAAGAGUAAUAACUCGGCACAGUCUUCGAUUCCGUCUGUUUUAAAAGCGGUUUUUUCUGUGCGUGGAACUUUUUUGGUCGAGACGUAAUGGGUGUCUUAAAGGCACUGAAGGUUGAAUUAGAUCCCCAACAAAAAGGCAACGCUGAAAAUCCCAGGGGGCGAUGGUAAUUAGUGACAAUGUUACGGUGUAGAUAACCUCAGAAAGUGUGACGCUAGCUGAUGUAAACCGCACCAGCUGUGCUAUUACCAAGUCUGUCUCACUUUUGCCGCCUAGGAAAAGGUUGUGAGAGUAGCAGGAGAAGAGGAAAUUGCAGUAAACCCGGUUUUGAAAGAAGCCAAACAUUCCGAUGAUAUGGGAGCUCAGCCGGUGGAAACAAAAACCCUAUGUUUCAGAUAGAAAGACAAAAGGAACACAUCGUUCCUAAGCUAGUUCUGAGGACCACUGUCACCGAAUGAAAAUCACCUCGCUUAUAGACUCGGAAGGUGAAAGCGAGACCCAAAAAUUUGCAACAACGAAGCAAGUCCUCCACUGUUACAAACCACAAUAUGUAAAUGCGUCGCAUCCGAGAAAUUAAUACUGCAGUAACCAGAACGAUAAAAAAAUCCAUAUUGUUAACGGUUUCCUGCGUAAAGACGAAUCCGAGCAAGUCGUCACUAGUUUACAGCAAAUCGGGCUCUAUCUUCGGGUAAUUUGAGAUACUUUUCUGGACCGUUCAGAAUCUUAUAAUUGGUCAAAAUUUGAUCGUCCUGUCACAUCUCAAAUUCUAUGUUUUAUAAUUCUUGUUCUAUGACCGAGUUCUUUUCCAGACAGUGGCUUCUCAUUCCUCUUGUCAUACCAGCGAUCAGAUUUGAUGUUUCGAAUUGUUUUGGGUUGUUAAAGCAAGUUUGACUUUCUACGAUGCUUCCACCAACGUGCAUGAUCGCCAAACUUUGUCGUUGUGUCGGACUGUUUAUCCGGAAGAAAAACGUCGAAUUAUUGGCGAUAUGUUUGUCAAAGUGGUAGAUAGAACGGCUAACGAUUUAAAUGUCACUUGGAAUAAUCUACUUCUCGGACAAGUUGCUUUGAUACCGGAUUUAAUUGAAUCCACUUCGCAUAUGGCUUCUUCGCGCGCUGAUGCCAUAAAGACUCAUAACGGUUCCGAAAUGGUUCGUCAGUUGUGCAUUUAUGGCCGUGUAGUAGAACCUCUUAAAGGUCUUAGGUCGCGAGCUGGGUCUGUCCACAGAAUUACUCGAACGUCGCCCGUUUCCUGCUCCCUGGUUUUGUCAAUUCGAAUCAUUUAUGCCGAAGAACUGUUUUUGGAAGCUGAUUUCGUUGAGACGCAAGUCGGAUUCAAAUUGCGACGUCGGAAGAACAGCGUCUUUUAUAAAGAUGGUUCUCUUCCUUGCAGGGAGAUUGCCGGACUUAUAGCUAUUGCGUAGAACUGAGCUCUGAUCAGACACAACCAAACUGGAAUGAUCUAGCCUCCUACGCCCGCUUAAUACAGCGUGUGUGUAAUAUUGUCAAUCGUGUUUGCUACGUAUUCGGAAAGCCUGUGCGUGAAUCGGUGACAGACGUUACACCUACCUACUUAACGAGUAAAAUUUUGGUGAUCUUGAGGGAAGCGGAUUAUUUGGCAAAUAAAAUAUUACGGUAUUCGGGUUGCUCUGAGAAACUAGAACAGAUGCCAAUCGUCUUGAUCCCUUUCACUUUUAUCGCGAUUCGAGUCAACGCAUUCCAUCAUGCCAGUGAUCAGUCAUUUUUCGAUCAUUCUUUUCACAGGAUUUUAUGACUGGGCUUCCUGCAAUUCAUGAUACCCACUUGCCCCAAGAGGUUGUAGACAAGAUGGUUGAAGUCGUCUUAACAGUUCCAGGAAUUUUCAGGGUCUUGUAUGAUCUGACGGCGAAACCAUCCUGGACAACGGAGUGGGAAUGAUAUGAUUUACGAACGUUGGUUAGGCAAAUAAUCUCCGCCACUCUUUACAGGACACGGAUGCGGAAUUGUAUCACUGACCAGAUUGAGAUGGUAUACAUUAUAAUAGUGGAAUGAGUAUAGACUUUAGAAAUUGGAAAAUUUAUCAGCUUUGUCGUCUCGUGAAAAUCCCUUUAACUCGCUUCUUAGGAAAAAUUCAGGUGAUGACUUGUUGAGUUUUCCUUAAUAUACAUGCACACUUGUCGGAAAUAAUGGGUGCAUUUGGUUUUCGUGGAACAAAUUAAACAUUGUUAAUGUGCAGCUAGGUGGGUUGUUGUUGCUCUCCGAAGGCUGUUCGAGGCGUUAUGCAAUUUCCUGAGAUUAAACAUUUAGGAAAUGUGGUAAAUGUUCGGAAAUUGUUAAGAUCUAUUCAUAAUGGUACCAUAAAGUAUGACUGUAGGAAAGGGUACGUCGGCUUCUAAAAGUGAAGAACAGCUCUGACGUCUUUGGUAAGCGGAAAAGGUACUGCUGAUUGAAGCGUCAGAUGACGGUUUUAAGAAUGGACUCUUUACUUUGCCCAAUGAAUCUGUGCUUGGAACUGGCAGGUGGCGUUUAGCAGUGGUACCCAAUCUUUAUUCUUAAAACCCAGAGGUGUUCUUCACUUUUCAGGGGGAUUUAAUGAUGAUACUUGUUGGGUUAUCCAUGAAGAAUACCAAUACAUGGAUAACUGGAGGGUAAUAAAAGUAUAAAACUGUAAUUCCUCAUGGCAUUUUCAUUUACGCAUACGCGGCAGUUCGUGAGCAGACGAACCAUUGAAAGGGCCUUGCGCAGUCUAGCUGCAUCCAGCCAGAUACUAGUAGAACCCAAAACAUUGUUUUGACAAGUACUGUCAUAUUUCGGUUGCAGGUUUUUACUAAAUACCAAGCUGAUCCUACGAGCUACGACAGUUUUACCUACCAAUGUUUAGCGUUUCGUGCUGCAACUAGUAGUUGAUAUUCUAGGAUGUUAUGCCUCAAAUUGGAAUUCAGCUAUCAGAGAUUAGCAAAAUUGAAGCGGAAACUCUAGAUGGCGUUGAUGUACGUCUAUGAUGAAGAUUAUGAGUGACAAGUUAA